UACGAAGGGGGCUAGCGUUGUUCGGAAUUACUGGGCGUAAAGGGCUCGUAGGCGGCCAACUAAGUCAGACGUGAAAUCCCUCGGCUUAACCGGGGAACUGCGUCUGAUACUGGAUGGCUUGAGGUUGGGAGAGGGAUGCGGAAUUCCAGGUGUAGCGGUGAAAUGCGUAGAUAUCAGGAGGAACACCGGUGGUGUAGACGGCUCUCUGGACCGUAACUGACGCUGAGACACGAAAGCGUGGGUAGCAAACAGG
rnacentral:rRNA from 1 species